AGAUUGAACGCUGGCGGCAUGCCUUACACAUGCAAGUCGAACGCGAAAGCGGGGCAACCCGCAAGUAGAGUGGCGAACGGGUGAGUAAUACAUCGGAACGUACCCAGUAGCGGGGGAUAACCUCUCGAAAGAGAAGCUAAUACCGCAUACGACCUAUGGGUGAAAGCGGGGGAUCGCAAGACCUCGCACUAUUGGAGCGGCCGAUGUCGGAUUAGCUAGUUGGCGGGGUAACGGCCCACCAAGGCUACGAUCCGUAGCUGGUCUGAGAGGACGACCAGCCACACUGGAACUGAGACACGGUCCAGACUCCUACGGAGGCAGCAGUGGGGAAUUUUGGACAAUGGGCGCAAGCCUGACGCAGCAACGCCGCGUGCGGGAUGAAGGCCUUCGGGUUGUAAACCGCUUUCAGUGGGGACGAACCAAGACGGUACCCACAGAAGAAGCCCCGGCCAACUACGUGCCAGCAGCCGC
rnacentral:rRNA from 1 species